GUUGUAUGGUUAAGUGACUAAGCGUACAUGGUGGAUGCCUUGGCAGUCAGAGGCGAUGAAGGACGUACUAACCUGCGAUAAGCCGUGAGCAGUCGGUAAGAGACAUUACGACUCACGGAUUUCCGAAUGGGGAAACCCACUUAGCAUAAGCUAGGUAUCGCUACGUGAAUACAUAGCGUAGCGAGGCGAACCGGGAGAACUGAAACAUCUAAGUACCCCGAGGAAAAGAAAUCAACCGAGAUUCCCUCAGUAGCGGCGAGCGAACGGGGAUUAGCCCUUAAGCAUCUUGGAAGUUAGUGGAACGGUCCUGGAAAGGCCGGCGAUACAGGGUGAUAGCCCCGUACACGAAAACAACCUUGAUGUGAAAUCGAGUAGGGCGGGACACGUGACAUCCUGUCUGAAUAUGGGGGACCAUCCUCCAAGGCUAAAUACUCCUGACUGACCGAUAGUGAACCAGUACCGUGAGGGAAAGGCGAAAAGAACCCCUGUGAGGGGAGUGAAAUAGAACCUGAAACCGUGUACGUACAAGCAGUGGGAGCCCUUCGGGGUGACUGCGUACCUUUUGUAUAAUGGGUCAGCGACUUACAUUUUGUAGCGAGGUUAACCGUAUAGGGGAGCCGUAGGGAAACCGAGUCUUAACUGGGCGUCUAGUUGCAAGGUGUAGACCCGAAACCGGGUGAUCUAGCCAUGGGCAGGUUGAAGGUUGAGUAACAUCAACUGGAGGACCGAACCCACUAACGUUGCAAAGUUAGGGGAUGACCUGUGGCUGGGGGUGAAAGGCCAAUCAAACUCGGAGAUAGCUGGUUCUCCCCGAAAGCUAUUUAGGUAGCGCCUCGGACGAAUACUACUGGGGGUAGAGCACUGUUUGGGCUAGGGGGUCAUCCCGACUUACCAACCCCAUGCAAACUCCGAAUACCAGUAAGUAAUAUCCGGGAGACACACGGCGGGUGCUAACGUCCGUCGUGAAGAGGGAAACAACCCAGACCGCCGGCUAAGGUCCCAAAGUUCUGGUUAAGUGGGAAACGAUGUGGGAAGGCUCAGACAGCUAGGAUGUUGGCUUAGAAGCAGCCAUCAUUUAAAGAAAGCGUAAUAGCUCACUAGUCGAGUCGGCCUGCGCGGAAGAUGUAACGGGGCUCAAACCAGGCACCGAAGCCGCGGAUUCACGCUAAGCGUGAGUGGUAGGGGAGCGUUCUGUAAGUCUGCGAAGGUGUAUCGAGAGGUAUGCUGGAGAUAUCAGAAGUGCGAAUGCUGACGUAAGUAACGAUAAAGGGGGUGAAAAGCCUCCUCGCCGGAAGACCAAGGGUUCCUGUCCAACGUUAAUCGGGGCAGGGUGAGUCGACCCCUAAGGCGAGGCCGAAAGGCGUAGUCGAUGGGAAGCAGGUUAAUAUUCCUGCACGACUUGUAAUUGCGAUGGGGGACGGAGAAGGCUAGGUGGGCCAGGCGACGGUUGUCCUGGUGAAAGUGCGUAGGUGGUGUUUCUAGGCAAAUCCGGAGACACAACACUGAGACACGAGACGAACACACUACGGUGUGGAAGCCAUUGAUGCCCUGCUUCCAGGAAAAGCCUCUAAGCUUCAGAUUACAAGUCAUCGUACCCCAAACCGACACAGGUGGUCGGGUAGAGAAUACCAAGGCGCUUGAGAGAACUCGGGUGAAGGAACUAGGCAAAAUAGAACCGUAACUUCGGGAGAAGGUUCGCUCUUGACAGUGAAGUCCCUUGCGGAUGGAGCAGUUGGGAGUCGCAGUGACCAGAUGGCUGGGACUGUUUAUCAAAAACACAGCACUCUGCAAACACGAAAGUGGACGUAUAGGGUGUGACACCUGCCCGGUGCCGGAAGGUUAAUUGAUGGGGUUAGCGCAAGCGAAGCUCUUGAUCGAAGCCCCGGUAAACGGCGGCCGUAACUAUAACGGUCCUAAGGUAGCGAAAUUCCUUGUCGGGUAAGUUCCGACCUGCACGAAUGGUGUAACCAUGGCCAUGCUGUCUCCACCCGAGACUCAGUGAAAUCGAAUUCGCCGUGAAGAUGCGGUGUACCCGCGGCUAGACGGAAAGACCCCGUGAACCUUUACUACAGCUUGGCACUGAACAUUGAACCUACAUGUGUAGGAUAGGUGGGAGGCUUUGAAGGCGUGACGCCAGUUGCGCUGGAGCCGUCCUUGAAAUACCACCCUUGUAUGUUUGAUGUUCUAACGCAGGCCCGUGAAUCCGGGUCGCGGACAGUGCCUGGUGGGUAGUUUGACUGGGGCGGUCUCCUCCCAAAGAGUAACGGAGGAGCACGAAGGUUGGCUAAUCCUGGUCGGACAUCAGGAGGUUAGUGCAAUGGCAUAAGCCAGCUUAACUGCGAGACGGACAGGUCGAGCAGGUACGAAAGUAGGUCAUAGUGAUCCGGUGGUUCUGAAUGGAAGGGCCAUCGCUCAACGGAUAAAAGGUACUCCGGGGAUAACAGGCUGAUACCGCCCAAGAGUUCAUAUCGACGGCGGUGUUUGGCACCUCGAUGUCGGCUCAUCACAUCCUGGGGCUGAAGUCGGUCCCAAGGGUAUGGCUGUUCGCCAUUUAAAGUGGUACGCGAGCUGGGUUCAGAACGUCGUGAGACAGUUCGGUCCCUAUCUGCCGUGGGCGUUGGAUGAUUGAAGGGAGUUGCUCCUAGUACGAGAGGACCGGAGUGAACGAACCUCUGGUGUUCGGGUUGUCACGCCAGUGGCACUGCCCGGUAGCUAAGUUCGGAAUCGAUAACCGCUGAAAGCAUCUAAGCGGGAAGCGAGCCCUGAGAUGAGUCAUCCCUGACCCCUUGAGGGUCCUAAAGGGCCGUUGGAGACCACAACGUUGAUAGGUGGGGUGUGUAAGCGCGGCGACGUGUUGAGCUAACCCAUACUAAUUACCCGUGAGGCUUAACCAUACAACACCCAAGAAGUGUU
rnacentral:rRNA from 1 species